AUUGAACGCUGGCGGCAUGCCUUACACAUGCAAGUCGAACGGUAACGGGCCUUCGGGUGCCGACGAGUGGCGAACGGGUGAGUAAUAUAUCGGAACGUGCCCAGUAGUGGGGGAUAGCCCGGCGAAAGCCGGAUUAAUACCGCAUACGACCUGAGGGUGAAAGCGGGGGAUCGCAAGACCUCGCGCUAUUGGAGCGGCCGAUAUCAGAUUAGCUAGUUGGUGGGGGAAAGGCCUACCAAGGCAACGAUCUGUAGUUGGUCUGAGGGGACGACCAGCCACACUGGGACUGAGACACGGCCCAGACUCCUACGGGAGGCAGCAGUGGGGAAUUUUGGACAAUGGGCGCAAGCCUGAUCCAGCAAUGCCGCGUGCAGGAAGAAGGCCCUCGGGUUGUAAACUGCUUUUGUCAGGGAAGAAAUCUUCUGGGUUAAUACCUCGGGAGGAUGACGGUACCUGAAGAAUAAGCACCGGCUAACUACGUGCCAGCCGCCGCGGUAAUAC
rnacentral:rRNA from 1 species